UCCCUUCUUCACUUCCUCUUCUUUGCUUUCCCCGACGGUUUUCCCUUCCCAAACCGUCGACGCUGCCGAUUCUUCUUCUCCUUCCUCAUAGCGCCCACUGCCGACAUCGCAGUGCCUUCCCCUGCCCAAGCCUCCAGCCAACGUUUCCUUUUCGCCGGCACCCGAGUAUCACUGUCGAUGUUCAACUGUGCCCUAGCACUGUCGUCGGCCACAGGAAACCCCAACGUUGCCGCCGCACGGGACACGCCGACCCUUCUUCUCCUCCUCUGAGCGCCGACAGCCGAGCACCUCUCCUCUGCCCUAGCGCCUGUGCCGUAGCCACCCAGCACCACCCGACACCUUCGGGCACAGCCGGAUCUCUUACACCUCCGCCGAAAGCUUCUACCUCUCCCUCCCGAGCUGCCCUUACUACAACCUGUGCCCUAAGCACCGCCAUCUCCUCCCUGUGCCUUAGCCUCUCUACUCAGCCGUUUCCUUCUCUGAGUCGCCAGCCGAAGCACUAGCAACAUCUCCUAAUCGCGGAGCAGCAGUUCCAGUUUUGUUCUCAGCAAUAACUUCAUUGUAGCACCGGCUGAUCAUCCGGAUUUAGGUUGAUGCUGUCCGGAGGGAGUUCCAGUCGCUAGUCCUCACUGCACGUAGUGCUAGGUCC